rnacentral:snoRNA from 1 species
UUGCAAUGAUGUUUGAAUUUCUUCACCUGAAAAAUACGUGUAGAUUAAACAACGAGCUUUUUAACCCUGAGCAAU